GACAAUGUCAUUUGUGUGCCAUUUCCUGGCGGUUUUCUGGAGCUGUGUGGUGUCACAUGAAGAUCUGUGUUGUUUUGUGCUACUUUUGGACAUUUGUUUUGAGUAGAGUUAGUUUCCAUGUGCCUGGUUUCACCUGUUUUCAGAGAUCAGGCUCAGCCGGGAGCAUGUGAGGUCAGACUCUUCACAGCUUUCAGGGAUCAAAGCCCUCCUGCCAGCCAUCUCUCCCCUGGGCACAGUGCCCUCCUGACACCCCCUCCUUCUGCUGUCCAUCGUGGGAGGAAGACAGCUGCUGGGAAACUCUGAGCUACCUUUCAAAACCAGCAGGUCAAGGUUUGAUUGCUCUUCAUGGGUAGUUAGAAUUCGCCGGUACAGUAGAUGUCAUAACUACACCUUUAUGUGGGUUUGGGUGCUUCCGAGGGUCCUGUGCCAACCAAGAAACAGAUACCUUUCUCCAGGUAUAACAGACACUGAAAAAUAAAGAGAUACCAACAUAGACUCAUAAGCACGCCCAUUCAUAGGUUUGGGAUCAGUAUACAAUUUUUGUAUAAUAUUUCUACCAUUUAUUUAUUGUAGAAACUACCUUUUUCUGCAGAAAUUCAUUAAUAUAAACAAUUUUUCAAACAAACACGUAAUUUAAAAAUCGUUGCAUGAUUAUGUAUACGAAGUUUCCCAUCAGCACAUUUUACUAUGUGAAAGGGAUGUUGUGCAUUGCUGUGAUAUGGAUAACCUCACAGCUCAAACCGACUCAUGACUCCUUAAUACUCUGUGUGAACUCUGACCGUGUCUGUUACACAUUUUUCACUGUCACACUCUCCAUGCACACAGUGAUGCACUUUCAGAACUGCAAGAGCAAUGGAAAAUGACUGAUACGUCUGUAAAAUAAAAUAAAAUUAAAUAAAAUAAAAUUAAAUUAAAUUAAAUUAAAUUAAAAUAAAAUAAAAUAAAAUAAAAUAAAAUAAAGUAAAGUAAAAUAAAAUAAAAUAAAAUAAAAUAAAAUAAAAUAAAAUUUUAAUUAACACAUUUAAGUCCAGGAAUAUUUCAAACACAUGGAUUUCUGUUUAAAUUAAAUUUAAAAAUUGCUCUUUUAAUGUAGUUAAAGUUGUUAAUGGAGGUCUCGAAUAUGAACAUUUUGGCUGUUUUGACCGACUAUUGAUUUUAUCAGAACAUUUGCCAAUGAGGACAGUUUGAGAGAUUCAUCAAAUGUUUUCUGAAAGUUAUUUCUUGUGGUUGUUUAUCAGGAGAAACAUCAUGAUUUUGACAUCUCUCUCGGUGUAGAUGUGGCCCACAGACACCUGAUCCAGUAUCAGCAAUUAGCUCGCUGAGGGUGAUGUGGUCAUUUGUCUCCAUUUGCGCAAACUUCUGAACGCGUCCACCGUGAAAUUAGAGCCUACCAAUUGCUAACCAUAUCCUUCCACCACCGCCAAUCACAGCUUGCGUUUGGGUGUCUGCUAAAGUUUCUCAUUUUCUCCCGCAGCCUGUAUUUAGUGUUCGUGGGAACUCAGGGUCAGUCACCUUGGCGUCUCUCCUCCAUUCAAGGUCAAUACAGAUGUAGCCUGCGUAAAAACAAAAAGCGCUAACCUGUAUUUUAGACAAACUGUGAAACAUACAUUCAGCUGAUAGUGUUUUGAAUACUUGCACAGUGCGUCUGAAAUCUGAGAUCACAGAGCUGAUGUUAUGGUGUGCGCUUGUAGGCCGAGGAAGGUUACUUUAUCACGGGUUCCCUCAGUUUUUAAAACGGCUGCUAAAUUGACAAAUCAAACUUAACUAUUCUACAUGACCUUAUUCUACAUCCCUAAUCCUUCUCAAUACCUAAAAUGAUCAACUGCAUUACUAAUCAAUAAUAAACAGCAAAUUAAUCAUUUAAUGAGGGAAACGUUAGUAGUAAAUAGUAAUCAAUAUUAGCAUUGUUAUUAUUGUUAUCAUAAUUAAGACAUCUUAUAUUUAACAAGGAUGCAUUAAACUGAUAAAAAGGCACAUUUAUAAAUAAAAAAAUUGUAAAACUGC